rnacentral:tRNA from 1 species
GCGGGUGUAGCUCAAUGGUAGAGUUCUGGCCUUCCAAGUCAGCUGUGAGGGUUCGAUCCCCUUCACCCGCUCCA